GGCAAGAUGGCCGAGUGGUUAAGGCGUGCGACUCAAGAUACGUCUUAGGCUUCCCAGAAGUCUUUAGUAUUCGCAUAGAGAAAUCUGCGUGGGUUCAAGUCCCACUCUUGUCA